UACAGAGGUCUCAAGCGUUGUUCGGAUUCAUUGGGCGUAAAGGGUGCGUAGGUGGCGCGCUAAGUCAGGUGUGAAAUUUCGGAGCUUAACUCCGAAACUGCAUUUGAUACUGGCGUGCUUGAGGACUGGAGAGGAGACUGGAAUACUUGGUGUAGCAGUGAAAUGCGUAGAUAUCAAGUGGAACACCAGUGGCGAAGGCGAGUCCCUGGAAAACUCCUGACACUGAGGCACGAAAGCUAGGGGAGCAAACAGG
rnacentral:rRNA from 1 species